UACGUAGGUGACAAGCGUUGUCCGGAUUUACUGGGCGUAAAGAGCGCGCAGGCGGUCGAUCAAGUCGAGUGUGAAAGCCCCCGGCUCAACUGGGGAGGGUCAUUCGAUACUGAUCGACUCGAAGGCAGGAGAGGGUAGUGGAAUUCCCGGUGUAGUGGUGAAAUGCGUAGAUAUCGGGAGGAACACCAGUGGCGAAGGCGACUACCUGGCCUGUUUCUUGACGCUGAGGCGCGAAAGCUAGGGGAGCAAACGGG
rnacentral:rRNA from 1 species